AGCGGCCGCGGUAAUUCCAGCUCCAAUAGCGUAUAUUAAAGUUGUUGCAGUUAAAAAGCUCGUAGUUGAAUUUCGGGAUCAAAUUGUCGGUCGUGCCUCGGUACGCACUGGUAUUAUUGGUUCCUACCUUCUGAAGAACCGCGAUGUCAUUAAUUUGGUGUCGUGGGGAAUCAGGACUGUUACUUUGAAAAAAUUGAGUGUUUAAAGCAGGCUUACGCUUGAAUACAUUAGCAUGGAAUAAUGAAAUGGACGUUUGAUUCUAUUUUGUUGGUUUCUAGGAUUCGACGUAAUGAUUAAUAGGGAUAGUUGGGGGCAUUAGUAUUCAAUUGUCAGAGGUGAAGUUCUUGGAUUUAUUGAAGACUAACUACUUGCGAAAGCAUUUGCCAAGGAUGUUUUCAUUAAUCAAGAACGAAAGUUAGGGGAUUCGAAAGACGAUCAGAUACCGUCGUAGUCUUAACCNUAAACCUAUGCCGACUAGGGAUCGGAUGAUGUUAAUUUUUUAAUGGUAUCUAUUCGGCUACCUUUACGGGAAACCCUAAAGUGUUUUGGGUUACGG
rnacentral:rRNA from 1 species